GUAGGUGUGAUGACUGAUUUACCGCCCCAGUCUGAUUUCUCUGACUGAAUGGUACCCUUCUGACCCUAC